GACGUAGGGCGCGAGCGUUGUCCGGAUUUAUUGGGCGUAAAGAGCUCGUAGGCGGUCUGUUGCGUCGGCUGUGAAAACCCGGGGCUCAACCCCGGGCCUGCAGCCGAUACGGGCAGACUAGAGUUCGGCAGGGGAGACUGGAAUUCCUGGUGUAGCGGUGAGAUGCGCAGAUAUCAGGAGGAACACCGGUGGCGAAGGCGGGUCUCUGGGCCGAUACUGACGCUGAGGAGCGAAAGCGUGGGGAGCGAACAGG
rnacentral:rRNA from 1 species